rnacentral:rRNA from 1 species
GGGCCCGCACAAGCGGUGGAGCAUGUGGUUUAAUUCGAUGAUACGCGAGGAACCUUACCAGGGCUUAAAUGUAAGUUGCAUAGAUCAGAGAUGGUCUUUUCUUCGGACUACUUACAAGGUGCUGCAUGGUUGUCGUCAGCUCGUGCCGUGAGGUGUCAGGUUAAGUCCUAUAACGAGCGCAACCCCUGUCGUUAGUUACCAGCAAGUAAUGUUGGGUACUCUAGCGAGACUGCCGGUGCAAACCGUGAGGAAGGUGGGGAUGACGUCAAAUCAUCACGGCCCUUACGUCCUGGCUACACACGUGCUACAAUGGCCGGUACAGAGAGCAGCAAUACGGCAACGUGGAG